CUACCUUCAGGAAGUGGUCACUUUCAGUUCCUAGAAUUGCUGCUCGUCUUCUCUUCAAUCUCCUCUUGAGUUUGUUGACCGCUGUUGUUUAAGUGGGUAGAUGUAUAAAGUUUCUGAAGUCUGCAGUUCAUCUUGUUUUCAGCCUUCUUUCAGGAGCAGAUAGCCCAUGUUCAGGAAGAAGCGGUUUACAAGGAAUCAAGUGAGAUAAUUCUGCUUCCUCUCAACAUCUUCCCCUAUCUUGAAGAAACUGCAAAGUUUGUGCAUUACCAAAGCUUGUGCAUUAGACAUUGCCUAAGAAAUGUCAGUCAAGAAGGUUAAAAUGAAAGAAACACGGCUUAGAAUACGUAGAGAACUUGACAGACAACUGGAGUUGAGAGGGGCCUGGGGAAGAACUGGGAGUCCAUGGAAAUCCUGCUUGUCAGUGAUGGUGAACUGGCGUGGCUUGGAUAUUUGAAUCGGCACACCGAGGUUUCCAGCAGAAGCAUUAUAGACAAUAAAUGCAGAACUAGGUU
rnacentral:lncRNA from 1 species